UACGGAGGGUGCGAGCGUUAACCGGAUUUACUGGGCGUAAAGCGGGCGUAGGCGGCCUUUUAAGUCGGAUGUGAAAUCCCCGAGCUUAACUUGGGAAGGGCAUUCGAUACUGGGAAGCUAGAGUAUAGGAGAGGAUGGUAGAAUUCCAGGUGUAGCGGUGAAAUGCGUAGAGAUCUGGAGGAAUACCGGUGGCGAAGGCAGCCAUCUGGCCUAAUACUGACGCUGAGGUACGAAAGCAUGGGGAGCAAACAGG
rnacentral:misc_RNA from 1 species